rnacentral:rRNA from 1 species
AGCGGGCGAGGUUGCUUCGGUAACUGAGCUAGCGGCGGACGGGUGAGUAAAGCUUAGGAAUCUGCCUAUUAGUGGGGGACAACAUUCCGAAAGGGAUGCUAAUACCGCAUACGUCCUACGGGAGAAAGCAGGGGAUCACUUGUGACCUUGCGCUAAUAGAUGAGCCUAAGUCGGAUUAGCUAGUUGGUGGGGUAAAGGCCUACCAAGGCGACGAUCUGCAGCGGGUCUGAGAGGAUGAUCCGCCACACUGGGACUGAGACACGGCCCAGACUCCUACGGGAGGCAGCAGUGGGGAAUAUUGGACAAUGGGGGGAACCCUGAUCCAGCCAUGCCGCGUGUGUGAAGAAGGCCUUUUGGUUGUAAAGCACUUUAAGCGAGGAGGAGGCUUACCUGGUUAAUACCUGGGAUAAGUGGACGUUACUCGCAGAAUAAGCACCGGCCAACUCUGUGCCAGCAGCCGCGGUAAUACAGAGGGUGCGAGCGUUAAUCGGAUUUACUGGGCGUAAAGCGCGCGUAGGUGGUUAAUUAAGUCAAAUGUGAAAUCCCCGAGCUUAACUUGGGAAUUGCAUUCGAUACUGGUUAGCUAGAGUAUGGGAGAGGAUGGUAGAAUUCCAGGUGUAGCGGUGAAAUGCGUAGAGAUCUGGAGGAAUACCGAUGGCGAAA